GUGAAGAGGGAAACAACCCAGACCGCCAGCUAAGGUCCCAAAGUCAUGGUUAAGUGGGAAACGAUGUGGGAAGGCCCAGACAGCCAGGAUGUUGGCUUAGAAGCAGCCAUCAUUUAAAGAAAGCGUAAUAGCUCACUGGUCGAGUCGGCCUGCGCGGAAGAUGUAACGGGGCUAAACCAUGCACCGAAGCUGCGGCAGCGAACGUAUCACCCAAGACAACUUUACGGAGUUGACGAUUGACGGAGCGAAGCGACGUCAAAGCGUUCAUUAAAGUCGAGUUGGCUUAGGGAUACGUUCGUUGGGUAGGGGAGCGUUCUGUAAGCCUGUGAAGGUGGCCUGUGAGGGUUGCUGGAGGUAUCAGAAGUGCGAAUGCUGACAUAAGUAACGAUAAAGCGGGUGAAAAGCCCGCUCGCCGGAAGACCAAGGGUUCCUGUCCAACGUUAAUCGGGGCAGGGUGAGUCGACCCCUAAGGCGAGGCCGAAAGGCGUAGUCGAUGGGAAACGGGUUAAUAUUCCCGUACUUGGUGUUACUGCGAAGGGGGGACGGAGAAGGCUAUGUUGGCCGGGCGACGGUUGUCCCGGUUUAAGCGUGUAGGUGUGUGUUCCAGGUAAAUCCGGUUCACUUUAACACUGAGGCGUGAUGACGAGGCACUACGGUGCUGAAGCAACAAAUGCCCUGCUUCCAGGAAAAGCCUCUAAGCAUCAGGUAACAUCAAAUCGUACCCCAAACCGACACAGGUGGUCAGGUAGAGAAUACCAAGGCGCUUGAGAGAACUCGGGUGAAGGAACUAGGCAAAAUGGUGCCGUAACUUCGGGAGAAGGCACGCUGACACGUAGGUGAAGUGAUUUACUCAUGGAGCUGAAGUCAGUCGAAGAUACCAGCUGGCUGCAACUGUUUAUUAAAAACACAGCACUGUGCAAACACGAAAGUGGACGUAUACGGUGUGACGCCUGCCCGGUGCCGGAAGGUUAAUUGAUGGGGUCAGCGCAAGCGAAGCUCCUGAUCGAAGCCCCGGUAAACGGCGGCCGUAACUAUAACGGUCCUAAGGUAGCGAAAUUCCUUGUCGGGUAAGUUCCGACCUGCACGAAUGGCGUAAUGAUGGCCAGGCUGUCUCCACCCGAGACUCAGUGAAAUUGAACUCGCUGUGAAGAUGCAGUGUACCCGCGGCAAGACGGAAAGACCCCGUGAACCUUUACUAUAGCUUGACACUGAACAUUGAGCCUUGAUGUGUAGGAUAGGUGGGAGGCUUUGAAGUGUGGACGCCAGUCUGCAUGGAGCCGACCUUGAAAUACCACCCUUUAAUGUUUGAUGUUCUAACGUGGACCCGUAAUCCGGGUUGCGGACAGUGUCUGGUGGGUAGUUUGACUGGGGCGGUCUCCUCCUAAAGAGUAACGGAGGAGCACGAAGGUUGGCUAAUCCUGGUCGGACAUCAGGAGGUUAGUGCAAUGGCAUAAGCCAGCUUGACUGCGAGCGUGACGGCGCGAGCAGGUGCGAAAGCAGGUCAUAGUGAUCCGGUGGUUCUGAAUGGAAGGGCCAUCGCUCAACGGAUAAAAGGUACUCCGGGGAUAACAGGCUGAUACCGCCCAAGAGUUCAUAUCGACGGCGGUGUUUGGCACCUCGAUGUCGGCUCAUCACAUCCUGGGGCUGAAGUAGGUCCCAAGGGUAUGGCUGUUCGCCAUUUAAAGUGGUACGCGAGCUGGGUUUAGAACGUCGUGAGACAGUUCGGUCCCUAUCUGCCGUGGGCGCUGGAGAACUGAGGGGGGCUGCUCCUAGUACGAGAGGACCGGAGUGGACGCAUCACUGGUGUUCGGGUUGUCAUGCCAAUGGCACUGCCCGGUAGCUAAAUGCGGAAGAGAUAAGUGCUGAAAGCAUCUAAGCACGAAACUUGCCCCGAG
rnacentral:rRNA from 1 species